UUUUUUUUUACACUGGUAUUUUAAUCAAUCCAAGCGUGUAAACAGAAACAGAAGGAAUGGUAAACAAAGUUCUUAAAAGCGUCAUUGACUGGUUUUCUACCAGUGGUCUCACCCUCAAUUUUAAAAUGACAUUAAGUUCAGCACUCCAGGGGUACUAGACCAGUGGCAAGUGUAACUCAUGAUGCGGAAAUAAUAAAUAGGGUGAAAACUUCAAAAUUCGUAUGUAUCCACACUUAUGAGAAUUUAAACUGGAAAAAGUUAAUUUUACAAGUCCUAAAACAACUUAGUUCAACUGUAUUUGUACUUAGAAUCAUUGCAAAUUUUGGAAAGAGAGAAAUGAGUUGAGAUAUUUUGCACAGUUUCAAUCAAUAAUGUCAUAUGGAAUAAUGUUCUGUGGCAAGAAAGAAAGUUUUCAUUGUGCAAGAAGAUGUUGCAGGAGUAAUCAUAGUGUAGACUCUGGGAUUCCAGCUUUUUGAGGCCACAGAUUAUCCUGAGUGCUCUUUUUUGUAGUUUAAAUAUAUUUGUGGUGUGAGUUGAAUUUCCCCAAAAGAUGAUUCCAUAACGGAGCAACGAGUGGAACUGCGCAUGGGACCUGAAAACCAGGAUCCAGAAGACACUGGACAUCGUAAAGUGCCUUAUCCACAGAUCCACUGGUUUUCAUGUAAUCACAGCUAGAUUAUGGAGUAUGGAUCAGUGAAUCCAUGUUAUCUGAAGAUCAUUGAUGCGAUCCAACAUGAGGGGAUUAGGCUGAUGAUAGGUGCUUAUUGGACCAGCCCCAUGCCCAGUCUCUUGCUGAGGCUGGGGAACUGCCACUUACCAUCCAGUGGAAGUGCCUCAUGGUGCAUCAGACAUAUGACGGACAAGAAGAGAAAAGAGGAAAAUCCAGAUGGAAAUUAAAAGCAAAUUAACUCAAAUGGAAAUUAAAAGCAAAUUAACUGCAACCUCUGAGCAAUAUUAAACCCAAACACAGGAAGAAAAUUCUUUUUCUUGAACCUCAGAGUUGCAGAUUCUGCUCCGCUAGCUAUAGAAGUUUCUGUUUAGCAAAUUUGGCAAAUAGAAGAACUAACAUCACACAGAAUUUUAUUAGUUAUAUAUGUUGUGAUUAUUACAAGAAUUUUUUUUUAUCACAAUGGAACAUGUAGCAUAUGUUCCACUGUUGAGUAUAAAGCUACAAGACUGUUUAUUGUAAUUUGAUGAGCCAAUAUUAUAUGCAAUUGUUAAUUAAUAUAAAGCUCCAUUCAUUCAUUUUGAAAAGUGUUUAAUACAGAUAAGGAAUGUUACUUCUGUUUUUAAAUUUAAAUUUUUUCUAAAAUUAAGGCUGAUUUACAAAGUCAAACUAAACUUAGGUCUGAAGUUGAUGAGACAUUAACUCCUGAACCUAAAACUAUGAAUGAAAGUACAACUGUGAAA